rnacentral:antisense_RNA from 2 species
UUUCAGCGAGCCCAGCCACAGCGGGCGGUCGGCGGGCCGGUUGCGGCCGUAGGUGGCCAGCAGCGCAUUGGCCUC